UCACAGCUUGAAAUACCAGUGGUACCCCCUGUUCAUAGCUGCACAGAGUCAGAACAGCAAUGGCACAAGCCAAGAACUAUGGGUGUGAAGCCUGGACCCAUCAACGCCAUGGUCUUCACCAAGCCAGUACCAAAGCGAAGGGUACAGACUGGAGUAAGGAGUGGAUUCUACAGAGGCCUGAUCG